UACGGAAGGCAGCAGUGGGGAAUAUUGCACAAUGGGCGAAAGCCUGAUGCAGCUAUGCCGCGUGUAUGAAGAAGGCCUUAGGGUUGUAAAGUACUUUCAUCGGGGAGGAAAAAACAAAACUAAUAAUUUUAUUUCUUGACGUUACCCGAAAAAGAAGCACCGGCUAACUCCGUGCCAGCAGCCGCGGUAAUACGGAGGGUGCUAGCGUUAAUCAGAAUUACUGGGCGUAAAGAGCACGUAGGUGGUUUUUUUAAGUCAGAUGUGAAAUCCCUGGGCUUAACCUAGGAACUGCAUUUUGAAACUGAAAUACUAGAGUAUCGUAGAGGGAGGUAGAAUUCUAGGUGUAGCGGUGAAAUGCGUAGAUAUCUGGAGGAAUACCUGUGGCGAAAGCGGCCUCCUAAACGAAUACUGACACUGAGGUGCGAAAGCGUGGGGAGCAAAACAGGGAUUAAUACC
rnacentral:rRNA from 1 species